AGACGUUGAGCUUGGCAUGCUGAGCUGCAGUUUGAAUUCAUCCAGGCAACGGGGGAUGGGU
ncrna:Synechococcus sp. CC9902 Glutamine-II riboswitch (downstream peptide RNA)